CCUACGGGAGGCAGCAGUGGGGAAUAUUGGACAAUGGGGGGAACCCUGAUCCGGCCAUGCCGCGUGUGUGAAGAAGGCCCUCGGGUUGUAAAGCACUUUCAGUGAGGAAGAACGCCUGGUGGUUAAUACCCAUCAGGAAAGACAUCACUCACAGAAGAAGCACCGGCUAACUCCGUGCCAGCAGCCGCGGUAAUACGGAGGGUGCGAGCGUUAAUCGGAAUUACUGGGCGUAAAGCGCGCGUAGGUGGCUUGAUAAGCCGGUUGUGAAAGCCCCGGGCUCAACCUGGGAACGGCAUCCGGAACUGUCAAGCUAGAGUGCAGGAGAGGAAGGUAGAAUUCCCGGUGUAGCGGUGAAAUGCGUAGAGAUCGGGAGGAAUACCAGUGGCGAAGGCGGCCUUCUGGACUGACACUGACACUGAGGUGCGAAAGCGUGGGUAGCAAACAGGAUUAGAUACCCUAGUAGUC
rnacentral:rRNA from 1 species